AUGGGACGCAUCCUGCUCCUCUGCGCAUUCCUACUCGUCCUGCUCAGCGUGGCCAGCCUCAUGGAGGUCACGGAAGGGAGGGGGCGAGGCGGCUCACGCGGCGGAAGCAGCGGCAGCCCGCGUAGCCUCAGCGGUGGCACCUGGGUGGCGUGCGUUGGCUCGUCGCUGCUGGGUGCUGGCCGCCGCGGCCAUGCUCCUGUAGGCCCGAGCUGCGUGACUCAGCUAGGCGGUGAUAUACGGCUGGCCUGGACAUCUUUGUACGUACUUUGA
rnacentral:rRNA from 1 species